rnacentral:snoRNA from 1 species
GUGCACUGUCUUUGAACCUGGUUGACCCUUUCUGUGGUCUCUCAGGCCAAGUUACAGCUGCUACAGCAACCUGUUUAUAACUGGGGCCUCUUGGCUAAACCACCAGGUGGCUCUUUUAAGAACAGCUCCCACCU